rnacentral:rRNA from 1 species
AACGAACGCUGGCGGCAUGCCUAACACAUGCAAGUCGAACGAAGGCUUCGGCCUUAGUGGCGCACGGGUGAGUAACACGUGGGAACCUGCCUUUCGGAUCGGAAUAACGUUUGGAAACGAACGCUAACACCGGAUACGCCCUUCGGGGGAAAGUUGACGCCGAGAGAGGGGCCCGCGUCCGAUGAGGUAGUUGGUGGGGUAACGGCCCACCAAGCCGACGAUCGGUAGCUGGUCUGAGAGGAUGAUCAGCCACACUGGGACUGAGACACGGCCCAGACUCCUACGGGAGGCAGCAGUGGGGAAUAUUGGACAAUGGGCGGAAGCCUGAUCCAGCAAUGCCGCGUGAGUGAUGAAGGCCUUAGGGUUGUAAAGCUCUUUCGCACGCGACGAUGAUGACGGUAGCGUGAGAAGAAGCCCCGGCUAACUUCGUGCCAGCAGCCGCCGUAAAAC